rnacentral:rRNA from 1 species
AACGAACGCUGGCGGCAGGCCUAACACAUGCAAGUCGAACGCCCGUAGCAAUACGGGAGUGGCAGACGGGUGAGUAACGCGUGGGAACGUGCCCUUCGGUUCGGAAUAACUCAGGGAAACUUGAGCUAAUACCGGAUACGUCCGUAAGGAGAAAGAUUUAUCGCCGAAGGAUCGGCCCGCGUCGGAUUAGCUAGUUGGUGAGGUAACGGCCCACCAAGGCGACGAUCCGUAGCUGGUCUGAGAGGAUGAUCAGCCACACUGGGACUGAGACACGGCCCAGACUCCUACGGGAGGCAGCAGUGGGGAAUAUUGCACAAUGGGCGAAAGCCUGAUGCAGCGACGCCGCGUGAGGGAUGACGGCC